CCCCACAAACCCUUUGUAAUAGCAAUAUUCGUCUGAAAAACAACCAAUAAUCAAAACUUUCAACAAUGGAUCUCUUGGUUCUGGCAUCGAUGAAGAACGCAGCGAAAUGCGAUAAGUAGUGUGAAUUGCAGAAUUCAGUGAAUCAUCGAAUCUUUGAACGCACAUUGCGCCCCUCGGUAUUCCG
rnacentral:rRNA from 1 species